AACAUCGCGCACCUGCGGGAACCUGCGGAAGGAUCAUUACCGAGUUUACAAACUCCCAAACCCUUUGUGAACCUUACCUAUCGUUGCUUCGGCGGGAUCGCCCCGGGCCGGCCCUUCACGGGGCCUCCGGAACCAGGCGCCCGCCGGAGAACCCAAACUCUUUGUUUUUAUGGUUUUCUCCUCUGAGUGGAUUAUAAACAAAUAAAUCAAAACUUUCAACAACGGAUCUCAGAUCGGAAG
rnacentral:misc_RNA from 1 species